AACGAUUAGAAUGUGACCUGGGACCAAUGUUCAAAUUGGUUUGCUCUUUAUUAAAGCAUCACAAUAUUUCUGAAUCAAGCAAACAAACUAGGAGAUAAAUGUAGAAAUGUCUGCCUACUUUUCACAUCUUUUAUCCUUACCCCGAAACAAGAGCUACUGUGUUUGUUAGUACAAUCGGCUGUGUGUUCAGUGCCAGAACACUUUUAUGAGACUGUGCCUACAUGCGAGUAAGCCCACACGUGUGCCAGAGCUCUUCCCUGACAGCAGUUCCUAUGCUCUGCAGUGUGCUGUGAAGUAUUCUGAUGCCAGUGUUUAUAACAGAGAUGCCGCCACUCCUAUAAAUACAUCUGUGGUCAACUACUGUCUUCAGAAGACCGGCAUUGACUUUCAUUAGGGAAUUACAGUGGGGAAAUGAUAGAUAAUAGAUGUUAUGAGUAAUUCAAUACAUUAUGCUGUAAAACCACCUCCAAAUUAUCUAGC
rnacentral:lncRNA from 1 species